CCGAAUUAGAUUAACACAAACCGUAACUUGUCACACAUCCCACACGUCUUUAGUUCUUGUGGCUUGAUCGAAAUCUAGCUUUAACCAAGCUCAUCUUCUCUAGGAUUUUCUCUUUCAACAUAUAAUUUCCAACCCUUAAAACUAUGGUUUGACUUUACUAAAACUCUCCUCCUUGGGUAAGAAAUAUUAUAGAUUUAAAUGGAAAGAAUUUCACUUGAAGCAAGCAAAAACUUCCAAGUUUGAAUUUGAAGAACUGACGGUGGUAAGGAAAAUUUUCAAGAAAUCAUAGUUGGUACUCACGGUUUAUGGCAAAAAUCAUCUUUUUACCCAGCUGGCAAAAUGCACUAAUGGAAGAACUCAAUUUCGGUUUUCCUACACUGUUCUCCUAUCCCUUUUUCUUCAGCCAUGUGAAAGCAAAACGAAAGCUCCAUUGAAUUCUCUCCUACCCCCUACACUCCCCUAGAGAGUGGUUUCAUGCAAC
rnacentral:lncRNA from 1 species